GAGCUAACCCCAGUUCAGCUACUUACUAGAACAAUGGAGAGAGCUCUUCCCCAGCCACACACAAAAAAUGGCUUGCAUUUUGAGAGUGAGGAUGCAGCACACCUAUGAAUAAGGAAGUUUUGAAUCAUGAUACAGCUCAAGGACGCAGGACUCAGUUCAAGGCUUGUUAGAAAAACGGAGAAAUCUAAGCAUCAACCAGCAAGUGGGGAGAGCUUUAGAUGAAGAGAUAGGCCUUGAAGCCACCCCUAAAACUUCACCUUUUUGCAGUAGUCUGCCCUUCCUACAUCCAUUGUUCGAAUUUGCUGGAGGUAGAAACAUGAAACUUCUCACAACCUCCAAGUGCUAUGAUGAUACAGUUGCAGUGAGCCAGUAAGAAGUACCUAGAAUUACUCUUCAAGUGAUUGGUAUUCAUUCCUUCAUUCCUGCUACUAGCAUUUGAGGAAGUCCUGGUUUACCAAGCACUAUGUCUGGCCAGGGACCCAGAGAAAAACAAGACAAGCCAUCUACUCCUGUGGCUGAAAACCUUUCUGCUGUCCCAAUUCUCAUUUACUAAUAAAACUACAAUGAUCAACCUGACCAUUUACAUAUUUGACUAGCUUCGUAAAUAAUGCUGCUUAGAGGUAUUAUAUCUGUGAAGUGGGGAAGCAGAGGCUCUAGUAGAGGAUUAGAGAGAAGUUGGAAGGCUUCGGAGUCCUCAGAUACAUUCCCCAACAUACUGUAAUGAGGUCUGAACAUUCCCACUUUCAGAAACAAAGGCAGAGGAAUUCAAACCUGCUAGAACAUCGUGGAUUUUCUGGAAAGCUUAUUACGGUGAUACGGAGUUUAAUGUGCCACCCACCAUAUGCACAUGAAAUCAAAAUCUCCCAAGGUGGGGCUGUCUAUCUGCAUUUCAGCAGGUUCUUGAGGGGACUUUUCUAAAGCCAGUCCAGCAACAGGAAACUUCUGGAAUGAGGCAGAGAAGUUCUCUCUUAAAAUGUAAAUAGCUAUUUUAUCACAAUUGACAGGUUUGGAUAAGAAAUCCCAGUCUAAACAUAGCCUCCAACAAUGAAUAUGGGCCAACUUCAUUUAAUCGAGAUGAGUGUUCUAACGUGACUGUUCUGAACUUUGCAAGACUCCAGAAUCACCCUUCUGAAGGACAUUGCCCAACCUUGGGGCUACAAGGAAGAAGCAGGAAACUGAAGGAGUAGAAACUUAAGGAAAGUCACUAGAAAUGUUUUUCUUUGCUUUCAGCCUUUUUUUCCCCCAUUAUUAUUCUAUGGCUCUAAAUGUUGUAUACAGGAUUGCAUGUGUGCAGGGAAAGGCACAUGGACACUGGUGGGUUUUCAUUUAAAAUCUCUUCUAAUAAGGUUUGCCAGUAAUGGAAAGAACAGAAAGUGUUUCAGCUACAGGAAAACAUUUAUUUCAACCACUAGCAUUCACUGGGCCAGGCUACCUAGCUGCUAUCAGAUAUUCAGACAAAACCUGGUUAGCCCAAUUAACUAGCUCCCCAAAUUUAAGAUGAAAGUCUACCUGAGCCAUGCUAAUCAAAGUUGUUUCAUGUUCCAUUUGUGCAAGUGCUAGGUAGCUUCUGUUUAGAUCAGAGAAGCUUUUAUACCACUACAGGUGUAUGUGGAGAAACAGAAGAGAUGGAAAGAAAGACAAAAAUAUCCCAACAUAUGGGUAGGGAUGGAACUGACAGAUGGGAACCAUCUUAGUUCUAGAAAGGCAAAUUGGGAAAGAGAAAGAUGUUUGAACCAAAUUUGGGGAUGUGGUGUGAAAUUAUGCCAUAACUUUUGGAUCUUAAUAUCAUGAAACAAUUCUCUUUACCCUAUUCCUUUCAAUCUUUGGGAAAGGUGAGUAGAAAAAUAAUUCUUUCAUGCAUGGAAUGGUUUCAAAGGAUGACAUAGUCCUUCCACUGUCGUCCUAAAAGAAGCUCCAAGGAACUCGUCACCAAAACAUUUCAAGUUUCCCCAUCAAUUCCAUCUUCAAAUUUCAUCACUAUCUUCAGUUAAAAAGAAUAAACCCUUUUCUGAGAAUUUAGCCAGAGUAAAAAUUACUUUAACUUUUCCUUGCUAAUAAGACAAAAAAUGUUGCUAUGAUAGGUACAUAAGCUCAGAAAGCUGAGGUUGCUGGCUCCUGAAUAUGACAGAAUGAUUUCUACUAAAACCAAGUGAUUGAGGAGGUCUUUGGAGUUGUGAUAAGUAAGAACCAGCAGAAAUCAGAGACUGGCUCUUUGUAUACCUGGAUCUGGAAAACUGAAAAAAAGAGAUGUUGAAGGUGGUGAAUUCAAGUUUAUACCUGGGAAGAUUGUUUCUGGGCAGUGAGCAUCCUUUCUCUUCAGAGGGUGUUUUCAUCACACCUCUUGAGGCUGUCACAUCUGUCUGUUUAACAGACUCUACCUUGUUUUUUUGUUUUAUUUUUUUAAGAUUUUAUUUAUUCAUUCAUGAGAGACAGAGAAAGAGAAAGAGAGAGAGAGGCAGAGACACAGGCAGAGGGAGAAGCAGGGUCCAUUCAGGAAGCCUGAUGUGGGACUUGAUCCCAGGACUCGAUCCCAGGACUCCAGGACCACGCCCCAGGCCGAAGAAAGGCACUAAACUGCUGAGCCACCCAGGGAUCCCCCAGACUCUACCUUGUUGAUGAAAUGUUUCUGUGUAUAUGUAGAUGCUAUGAACAAUAGUAACCUGAAUGUCAGCUCUAAGAAGGCACCCUGAGAAAGGACAUUCUUGGAAACCGCCACUCAGUACCAUGCACUUAAAAUAAAAACAAAACAGUACCUGUCUCCUUAGGUCUCUUGUUUUCUUGGUCAUCUUAUCAAUUGCAAUGUUUAGAGGAUCUCCUUUUUCUUUUCUUCCAGUCUAUUAAGAGAAGAGAAACAAUCUCUAGGUUAGAUAAUUCAAUUUUAAUUUUAAAAUUAAAAAAAAAGGAAAUGUACUUGACUGGUAGAAACCAAGCAAAAGAGAGAGAGAGGAAACUCUUUUCAAUACACAACUAUUAUGAUUUGUCUCUAAAAUUA